UUGCAACAAAAAAGAAACAGGUGUGUUGGAUACACAUCUGUACCAUGAACUAGUGAUGGGUCGGUUGUGAACGAAGCGGCUCUCAGGGACGGCUCUUUGAAGUGAACGACAGGAGCCGGCUCCUUGUUGGGAGUAGUGGGAGGUGUUCUCCCUCCUUCUCUCACCCUCUCUCUCGCCGCAUGUGAGCCUUGUGUUACGCUGAGCAGAGGGGGGGGGAGGGUGCAAAAAGCCUUGUGUUUGUGCUGAGCAAAGGGGGAAGGGGCUGAGGGAAGAAGAGGAGGUUACACUUGCAGCAGCAGUUGCACAUGAACAGAGCAGGAAGGUGAGAGAGAAAGUGAGCAGGGGACAACAACAAGAGACAAAAUCAACACAGUCAUCUCUACCCUGGCAGUUAAAAUGCACCGGUUGACCCUCUGAGCCAAGAGGAAUGGGAGGUACUACAGGAGAACUGUCCAGUUCCGCAGAAUGGAAUAUAACACCGUUUUCUCUGAAACCACCAUUCUUGAUCCAAGAUUCAAGAAGCUGGUCUUUUAACAGAGCGGUGGAUGAAGCUCUUAAGAGAAUAACUGCAGCAGAAAGAUCCAGCCAACCAACUCCACUGCCAGGGGACCAAGAUUGAGAAGAGCCAGAAGAGGGUGAACAAAAGGAGCAACAAGCAUCUGCUGUUUGGAGGUUCUUUGAGCAAGUAGAGACACUAUCAGAAGGAAUCCCUCACCAGAUGUAGUACUGGAAGUGAGAUACUACAUUGACGAGCCCCUUUGCCAGAGAAGUGCAGACCCACUGAGCUGAAACUGCCAUGUACCCCCUCCUCCUAACCUCACAGACAAACUCCCAUCCUGUCACAUCUCUACUCUACAUCCUUAUGUGCUGUCGCGAAAUCAAUCAAAAUGCAGAGCAGUGAAACAAACCACGGAGGCCCCAGAAGACUGCAAUCAAACGUAUAUAUCACCUGGACAGUCGCACCAGUGAAACUUAAGACCCUUUUGGAUGGAACAUCAACUCCAAAUAAGCACAAAUAUGCAAAGUGUAUAGAUUGAUCAUAACUAAACCUGUAAAUAGAAAAGGUCAAUGUGAUGACAAACAUCUUCAAUACAAUAUGAACCCUGUAAGAAAUAUUACUAAUAGAAUAAUGCUGUAAAAUAUGUUAUUAAUGCAAUUAUAAUAAUGCAGGUUAUAUGGCAGCAAUAAAAGAAUUUCUGUAUCUCCACAGUCCCUAUUAUUCUACUCUAUGUGAGAACAAAGUAACGGUGCUCGAUCUAAUACUUUAUCUGACUCCUACAUGCUUCCCUUUACAUUGUUUGUUUGUGUGUGUGUGUGCGUGUGUGUGAAUCUCCACAUAAACAAAAUGAAGAGUAAGUUGUCAUGAGAGUGAGUCAUGCUGAGAGUCACUGCUCACCUAAUGCGGAGUUUUUAAUGGUCAAAUGCAGAUCGUAUUAUCUCCCCAGAGAACUCACUUCGAUCAUACUCACUGCCGUGUAUAUACCCCCU